GUGUGCCGACUUUCUAAGUUCGGUAUCCAUCUCUUCUUUUUGGUUUUUUGAUGGAAAUACCCAUCUCCCUCUCUCCAGUCUCCACUGCUCCGGUGCGGAUGGAGCUGCUUUUCCCCCGUCUUCUCGCCGUUCCGAGAGCAACAUGGCGGUGGGAUCCCUUUAAACCCUACGUUUCAGGCCUCCAUGGGCCGCAAGAUUGACGUUUCCGGUUGACGAAUGGUGUCCUCUCCGUCGAGUCUUUUCAGUUUCUCCGGUAAAUUUCUCGUUGCGGUCGCUCCUCCGUUGCUCUUCGGCGAAUCUAUUCAGGUCCUGCGACCUCUGCGUGCCAUCGGAGGAUCCGACCAGGUUUCCUAUUCUUUCUUUUUGGCUUUCCCAAGUACGUCCGUUCUUGGAGGUUUUUGGGGUUGAAAACCAUCCGAUUUUUGUUGGAGACUCCUUUUUCUCAAGGCUUAUCUUACAAAUUCAGUUGGGUGCCUCAAGAAUUUGUCGCUGGGCUAGCAACUUCUGUGACUGAGACUUUUGCACCUGUGCAGCUUUCUGGAGGAAAUGAUGCUCUUACUUUUUCAUUGACAGUGAAAUCUAAUUUGUUAGGCAUUAUGAUGGUGCCUUUUUCUGUCUCUAAAUAUAUAGGAGCAGGAGCUGGAGCGUCUGUGCCUACUUCACAAUUAUUUAAAAGCCUUAUCACUAUGCUUUGGUCCCUCUCAUUCUAGGAAAGGCAGAUACGGGGCAUACUGUACCGUACCAGUUCGGUAUCGGUACACGGUAUGAAAGGCGUACCGACAUUCAAUACAUCAAAAAAAUUUCGUACCGUACGGACACAACACACAAUGCUAGCGUGGCACUGGUAUAGAGUCCGGUAUCGAGAUGGCAAAUCUUGCUAUAUUCUUUUUCCGAUGAAAAAAUGAAAGGACUGUUUGCAUGGGCUAACAUGAAAAUUUGAUGUUCACUAAAAAUGCAAGAUGUGGACGUUGUGGACAGGUGAGAUCCAAGCAGAGGAUUCGUUCUCUAAUUCUUUUUAGUGGUAGAGGGAGGAUAGAUAAAAGAUGUGAUUCAGGAGCUUGCAUAUAGCAAACAAUGGCGACUAGGUUACCCCUCCCUUGGUUUUGAAACCUCCUUUUUCUUCUUUUUUCAUUUUUUUGGCAAGUUGGGAGGGGUGUUCUUGGAUUCAGUAGAUGGUUUCAAUGGGAGCAUCAAACACAUGGAGGCAAGGCAAAUUCUAUUCUUGGAGUGGGACGGAUACCUGGAGAGGUUAUCAGUGCUAUUUCUCUCCAAAAGAAAAACAAAAAGAAAACUAGAGAUUGUUGAUAUUUUGACUCAGGUCUUCCAUUGCACCUAGGACUGAAACUGGAUCGGAUACGGAUUAAAUACUAGUACAUCCAUAUCCAUAUUUGUUUUGUUUGACAAAUACUGAUAUAGAUGUGGAUAUUAGUCGGAUGCAAAAAUUUAUAUUUAUAUUUGUUUUAAACAGAUACAGAUACAAAAUAGAUAUUAGAAGUAUGAAUAUAAGUACGGAUAUAAGUCGAAUAAUUCAAUUUUAUAGCCAUAGAAUCAAAGAUAUUAUCAAGUGGUUAGUGAUAUAGCCUAAAUUUGACCUGCAUCUGAUGGGCCGACAUGCAGCCUAGCAGAAGGCCAAUCAGUGGGACUCUUGUUCUCCGAUUGAUUCAGAUAAGGAAAGACAAGUAGUUAUCUUUUGCUUAGACUCGGACUCUAAAGAGUCCAACUCCUAUAGGACAGGGGCUCUUCAUCUAUACCAUGCUCUCUUUUAUCUUUUCUUUUUCUCAAUAUUUUGUUUAACUUAAGCACUGGAGAGCCCGGUCGGAGCUGAUCCAAUGAGCCUUUCUUUUCCUUGGUGUGCAGAACAGCGGCGCGUUGUGAACCAUUAGAGCACGGAUCAUUUCGAAUCCCUCUAAUCAUCAUAUUGGAUUUUGGACAGCAACAUAUAGUAAAUCAAGUUAGUAGCAUGUUAAUGUGAUCAUAUAUUUUCUUUAAAAGCUUAUGAGUGCUAUAUAAAAUUAAGUAGGAUUACAAAUAGAAUCGGAUAUUCAGAUACGGAUUGAGUAGUUGUCUAUCCAUAUUCAUAUCCAUUUUUUUUGACAGAUACGGAUACAAAUAUGGAUAUUAGUUGGAUGCUCAAUUUUCUAUCUAUAUUCUGAUAGAUUCGGACACAAAAAUAGAUCUAGAGACAUGUUAUCUGGUCCACUUUCACCCUAAUAGCACCAUCCUAUAUUGUUGCUUGAUCUGAUGUUCACAACUGACACUCAUUUGCUGUAUAAGAACAUUAUCAAGUGGCCAGUUAUGUACCUUUAUUGCUUUUCCAAUGAACAAUGUCAUCUUCCAUCUAACAUAAUAUCUUCUCAUUUUUUGGUAUCAUGCUUCUGUUUAAAAUUCUUGCUUUCCCCUUUUUCUGUGCGUGUUUUUGAUUGGCUACUUUACUUUGCCAUGACUUGGGCUGUUGAUCGUGGACAGAUCUAUAAACUACUGUCAUUUUUAUUUCCUGUAGAUGGCAGGGGAAGAAAAAUAUUUUUAUGGUACUUACCGGAAAGGAUUUUGACAUAGACAUGUUUGGUGCCAUAUGUUUUUCUGAAGUUGAAGUACAUAGGGUGAUUUCUAUUAUCAGUAUAUGACAUUCACAUGAAGCUUUCCAAGUUCGGUUGUUUUUUUCAACUUGUGGCACCUUACAUUGGCAGCUUUCACAGCUUUCUAUGUAUGUAAAGUUUUUCACUUUGUUGCAUUUGAAUGAUGUGGGCAAGCUGUUGUAACCUUAGUGGAAUCUUAUUAAUUGUCAACUAUAUGUUCUUUUCACUUGUGGCAGACUCCUCCAUCUCAUUCUUUUGGCAUUCAACACCCUAACAGUGCAGGGCCUGUCAGUAUUUUCAGGAGGUAGCAAAACAAUUUUUGCGAAGAGAGAGAAUUCCCACGUUGUCAUAGUUGUUGCUAGCCAGAAAGCACUACCUGUGAUGGUUGCUGUUGUCGAGCAGCUUGGCUGAUCAUUCGGUGAGCCUGGAUUAUUGGUCCUCCCACGUGUUGCUUCCCACAUUAGCCAGGUGGAUUUUGCAUAGACGCCAUUUUCUUCUAGGAGUGGCACUACAAAUUGACAUGGAAAAAAUUCUGCAGAUAGUUUAUUUACCCCUUUACAGUGCAACUUGUGGUUUCGGAAGGAUCGACUGUCUGCUAAAACCAGAGAAGCUUAGAUUGUGAGUCAGCCCACUUUCAUGUUCAUGUGGUAAAAUGAAAGAAAUCCUUUGUGACUUGGUCCUUUAAUAUUCUGCAUCACUAAUUGCUUAAUAAAUGUGAUUAUAUAUGUGAUUACAGCUA